GGCCGUGGUGCGCAGGCGCAGUCUGCGCAGGGACUGGCGGGACUGCGCGGAGGCGACUGCAGACGUAUCGGGGGUCCGGAGCCUGUCGCGGCUGCUAAGCGCUCGGCGCCUGGCGCUGGCGCUGGCCAAGGCUUGGCCAACAGUGUUGCAAACAGGAACCCGAGGUGUUCACUUCACUGUUGAAGGAACGAGAGGGCAUCUGCUAAAGUUUCAGAUUCCAUUUCUGCUCAGUAUCCAGUAGUGGAUCAUGAAUUUGAUGCAGUGGUGGUAGGCGCUGGAGGGGCAGGCUUUGCGAGCUGCAUUUGGCCUUUCCGAGGCAGAGUUUGAUACAGCAUGUGUUACCAAGCUGUUUCCUACCAGGUCACACACUGUUGCAGCGCAGCUAGAAAAUUAUGGCAUGCCGUUUAGCAGAACUGAAGAUGGGAAGAUUUAUCAGCGUGCAUUUGGUGGACAGAGCCUCAAGUUUGGAAAGGGCAGGCAGGCCCAUCGGUGCUGCUGUGUGGCUGAUCGGACCGGCCACUCAAUAUUGCACACCUCAUAUGGGAGGUCUCUGAGAUAUGAUACCAGCUGUUUUGUGGAGUAUUUUGCCUUGGAUCUCCUGAUAGAGAACAGGGAGUGCCGUGGUGUCAUUGCACUGUGCAUAGAGGACGGGUCCAUCCAUCACAUAAGAGCAAAGAACACUGUUGUUGCCACAGGAGUCAAGAAACUUUUCUUUUGAGCUAUUGACAGCUUUUAACAAGUUAUUAUACUCCUAUGAACAAAAUUUGGAGCAUAUUUGUUUCUCUCUGCCUGAUUUCUCCUGAAUUUGGAAACUAUUUUGCCAUGGUCUCCAUGAACUGAUUUUUUUGUGCAGUGGGCAGGAAGAACCCAUCGGGCAGCUACACAUCUUGAAAGAGAAGCUCUUCCUGUGAGACUCUGGUAGCCAUCAUUCUACUCUAUCUCCACGGGCUCAAUUGUUUUGAGUUUUAGAUCCCACAAAUAAACGAGAACAUGUGAAGCUUGUC
ensembl:lncRNA SDHAP4 SDHA pseudogene 4